GAUGAACGCUGGCGGCGUGCCUAAUACAUGCAAGUCGAGCGAACAGACGAGGAGCUUGCUCCUCUGACGUUAGCGGCGGACGGGUGAAUAACACGUGGAUAACCUACCUAUAAGACUGGGAUAACUUCGGGAAACCGGAGCUAAUACCGGAUAAUAUAUUGAACCGCAUGGUUCAAUAGUGAAAGACGGUUUUGCUGUCACUUAUAGAUGGAUCCGCGCCGCAUUAGCUAGUUGGUAAGGUAACGGCUUACCAAGGCGACGAUGCGUAGCCGACCUGAGAGGGUGAUCGGCCACACUGGAACUGAGACACGGUCCAGACUCCUACGGGAGGCAGCGGUAGGGAAUCUUCCGCAAUGGGCGAAAGCCUGACGGAGCAACGCCGCGUGAGUGAUGAAGGUCUUCGGAUCGUAAAACUCUGUUAUUAGGGAAGAACAAAUGUGUAAGUAACUAUGCACGUCUUGACGGUACCUAAUCAGAAAGCCACGGCUAACUACGUG
rnacentral:rRNA from 1 species